AUGGUGCCUUGCUGUCGUGUUCAUCCCUGUGUCCACGUGAACACCUGCCCUACCCUGCAACCUCUCGGGCCCUCAGACAUGCCGCAAACACAGCUCCUCCCAUGUCCUUCGAUACAGUUGCACACCCCAUGUACCCAGGCCCCACAAAGCACAGGGCGCGGCACCUCCAAGCCAGAUGCAGAUGGACGGUGGUCAGGGCUGGGAGCUGGGGACAAAAAGAGGAUGAAAGGAUACUGGUGGUGGAGAUGGCUUGGUAACACCUUCCAUCAGGAUCCGCUGUAUCGUUGGGCCCCCAAGGUUCCCAGAGCUGUCUGUGCUGUGCGCAUCACUCCCAGAAUCACAGUGGACUUUCCUCCGUCUAAAGUACGAGUCGCCCUGCAGCGGGGUGGCCAACUGUGACAGCAGUAGUCUGCGUUGAAGGAAGGGUCAGGUCCCUGGAGCAGUGUUUGCUGCGUGCCCACAGACACCAGGCUUCCAGGAAAACCAAGGGGCACCCACCGCCCACCUGUGUACAGUUCAGGGAUGGACAGGGCUCAGCACCGAGCUCACUCCCAAGGACACCAGAGCAGAAGGGCCUGGAACUUGGCAGCGUUUGGCCUGCAGAGACAGUCAGCUGGGAACCUGAGGUCAGAGGAGGUGGCAGGAGAGGACGGCACAGACCAUCAGGCAGAGGUGUGAGUGGCCGGGCAGGACCUGGGGCAGACAGGGGGGCGGAGGACUGGGGUGGGG
rnacentral:lncRNA from 12 species